GGGUCAUAGCUCAGUUGGUAGAGCACCUGCUUUGCAAGCAGGGGGUCGUCAGUUCGAGUCUGAUUGGCUCC
rnacentral:tRNA from 4 species